rnacentral:rRNA from 1 species
UAGGGAAUCUUCGGCAAUGGACGAAAGUCUGACCGAGCAACGCCGCGUGAGUGAAGAAGGUUUUCGGAUCGUAAAACUCUGUUGUUAGAGAAGAACAAGGACGUUAGUAACUGAACGUCCCCUGACGGUAUCUAACCAGAAAGCCACGGCUAACUACGUGCCAGCAGCCGCGGUAAUACGUAGGUGGCAAGCGUUGUCCGGUUUUAUUGGACGUAAAGCGAGCGCAGGCGGUUUCUUAAGUCUGAUGUGAAAGCCCCCGGCUCAACCGGGGAGGGUCAUUGGAAACUGGGAGACUUGAGUGCAGAAGAGGAGAGUGGAAUUCCAUGUGUAGCGGUGAAAUGCGUAGAUAUAUGGAGGAACACCAGUGGCGAAGGCGGCUCUCUGGUCUGUAACUGACGCUGAGGCUCGAAAGCGUGGGGAGCAAACAGG